GUAUACAUUCCACACAGAAUAUUCCACAGAUUUAGUAUACAUUCCACAGAUCUAGUGUACAUUCCACAGAUCUAGUGUACAUUCCACAGAUCUAGUAUACAUUCCACAGAUCUAGUGUACAUUCCACAGAUCUAGUAUACAUUCCACAGAUCUAGUAUACAUUCCACAGAUCUAGUAUACAUUCCACAGGAUAUAGUAUACAUUUCACAUGAUAUAGAAUACAUUUAACAGGAUAUGGUAUGCAUUUCACAGGAUAUAGUAUGCAUUUCACAGGAUAUAGAAUACAUUUAACAGGAUAUGGGUAU